GCCACACGUGAAAUAACCGCGCGUAAAAGGGCCACCACUCAUCUUCGGCUCUAAUAAAAAAAAAGACGUCAAGAACGAGAAGCUAACUGGGCCUUCUCGCAGGAAGCUUAUAGAGUAGCCUUGUCGCUAACUAUACAGUGAUAAAGAGAUUUCUUUAUCCUCCACUUCAGCAAUCGGAAAACCCUAGAAAUCGGAAACAUUAUGGACAUGCAGAACGAGUUUGAUAGGAUACUCUUCUUCGAGCACGCUCGCAAAACCGCAGAGGCUACUUACUCUAAGGACCCUCUCGAUGCCGAGAAUCUAACGAGGUGGGGAGGUGCUCUGCUGGAGUUGGCUCAAUUUCAGAAUGUUGCAGAUUCCAAAAAAAUGAUACUAGAUGGCAUAUCAAAGCUGGAGGAAGCAUUGUUGGUCCAGCCAAAGAAGCAUGAUACCCUUUGGUGCCUAGGAAAUGCUUAUACUUCCUUUGCAUUUUUAAUCCCUGACCAGGAUGAGGCUAAGGAGUCUUUUGAAAAAUCAUCUGUCUACUUUAAGCAAGCUGUUGAUGAGGAUCCGGAUAAUGAAAUUUAUCGCAAGUCUUUAGAAGUAGCUGCUAAGGCUCCAGAACUACACAUGGAGAUUCAUAAGCAUGGUUUAGCUCAACAGGUGAUGGGGGCUGCACCUGCUUCUGGACCUU
rnacentral:misc_RNA from 1 species